AUUGAACGCUGGCGGCAUGCCUUACACAUGCAAGUCGAACGGCAGCACAGGUGCUUGCACCUGGUGGCGAGUGGCGAACGGGUGAGUAAUACAUCGGAACGUACCUUAUCGUGGGGGAUAACGCAGCGAAAGCUGUGCUAAUACCGCAUACGCCCUGAGGGGGAAAGCGGGGGAUCGCAAGACCUCGCGCGAUUAGAGCGGCCGAUGCCUGAUUAGCUAGUUGGUGGGGUAAAAGCCCACCAAGGCGACGAUCAGUAGCUGGUCUGAGAGGACGAUCAGCCACACUGGGACUGAGACACGGCCCAGAAUCCUACGGGAGGCAGCAGUGGGGAAUUUUGGACAAUGGGGGCAACCCUGAUCCAGCAAUGCCGCGUGAGUGAAGAAGGCCUUCGGGUUGUAAAGCUCUUUUGUCAGGGAAGAAACACCGGCUCUAACACAGUCCGGGAAUGACGGUACCUGAAGAAUAAGCACCGGCUAACUACGUGCCAGCCGCCGCAGUAA
rnacentral:rRNA from 1 species